GUAGUUAUUACAUUACUUUCCGCCAGAGAACUACAAGUGAAAAACUUGAAACUCAAAGGACUUGACGGUGUCCCAUAUCGGCCUAGAGGAGCCUGUCCUAUAAUCGAUACCCCCCGUUCCACCCAACCUCAACUAGCAAAAUAUCAGCCUAUAUACCGCCGUCGACAGUCUACCCCAUGAGGGCUCAACAGUAGACACAACAGCCUUAACGCUAAUACGUCAGGUCAAGGUGUAGCAAAUGUUGAGGAAAAGAUUGGCUACAUUUUUUAUGAUAAAAAACACGAAUUGCACUAUGAAACACUGCAUGAAGGUGAAUUUAGUAGUAAAACAGAUAAGAGUGUCUGUUUUAACAACGCUCUGGGACGCGU
rnacentral:rRNA from 1 species